CUGCAAACCAGGAAGAGGGCUCUCAUCAGACACUCAAUCUGUUAGCACCUUGAUUGUUGACUUCCCAGUCUCCAGAACUGUGGCACCUUGUUUCUUCCCUGCCAUGAAAUCUCCAUUGGUCUUGUGAAUGGUGAUUUGGAUUCAAAUGCUGGAAGCUGGAGAAAGAGGCCAAGGCAGGAGCAGCUAAAUCAGAUCUCCACUCCAACUACCCUCUUUUCAAAAGACAGACAGUUGCCAUGAUUGUCAAAUUUGGUGUAGAGGCUCCUUCUACAAGAGGUUGUCUUCAUUUAUGACCUUCGUUCAUUCAACACACUCAUUUUUGAUAACUUGUGUGCUAAGCUUUGUGUGAAGAGCACAAAUAAAAUGCUACCGGGGCACAGAGGAGCUUUAUUCUGCUGGGAGACUAGAACUGGGCACCACUACCCACAGGAAACAACAUAUGAAGCGUAUCCAGACUGUGGUAUGUCACUAUGGUAACUAUAGUCUCAACUGUCAAAGAACAAAGGUUAGUCCUUCCUGGUGAAUGUGACCCAUCCUGCAGCAGAGCUCAACUUUGAGUUCCCAAGGAAGAGCAAACAUACCCAUUAUGCAGUGCCACGUUUUGGAGGUUUUUGGAUGCAGGUUUUUGCAAAUUCUAUUCUUAAGUUUUCAAGUGCUGGCUGAUAUGUCUACUCACAUGAUUCCCAGCUGAGUGAUGCUUGUCCCACAGACACUCAAUGUUGAAUAAUGGUUUUUGGAAGCUGUGGACUCAAGUUCCUUCUCAAGUGACGAAGCUGGGUAAAGGAUCUCCUUUGUAAGCUGCUUGAAGAAGGUUUGCUGGAGCCGUGUGAAAGUGCUUACUGUCUAGAAGACAGAGCUAUUUUUAGCUUGAAGCCUUUGUUUAGGGAGCAACUUUUGAAGUCGAUGAUGAUGCCAGAUUUGGAAGAAUUUUGGAGGCCUGUGUUUGGGGAGCAGCGCAGAUGAGAAUCAGAUUGGAUCUGCAGACGGUGGGACGUUACAAAUAUGUAUUGAGCACACGUUAUAUAGAAGGACGACGAGACAGUGGAAUCCUGUGACAAAUCACUCCUUUUAAAGAGAAAUAUAAAUACAAUCUCGGCUUCCUCAUCUGUGAAGUGAGUGGACCAGUUCAUUACUCCCUGCAUAUGCGAUGAUUUCACAAUGACAAAACUAAAAAAGGCGAUUGAAAUUCUACUGAACAGAAAGACCUCCCUGCCGUAUUACCGACAGUCUGUCAGGGGUUGCCUCAGGGCCAGAAGUUGAGAAGCACUAACUCCAAAGAGAUGUGUAUAAAAUGUGGCUACUACCCAGAAACACCAAAUGGAGAGGAGUGAUUCUUAAUGCUAAAAGAUCAGUAAAAUCACUUUUCCUUUGAUUCAGAAAAUAGGGCUGUCAGUUUGAUAGGUGAAAAUAUAUAUUUGAAAUCUGACAAAAUGCCAACAUAUGACAUCAAAUUGUAGGCCAGGAACACUCCUGCCGAGUGGAUCCUCCAGUGACACGUUAGGAAUGCAUUUGCUGGGACAGCAUUCCACACAACACAGAUCCCUCAACGUGAUUAAUUGCCUGAUGUGUCUGCUUUGUGCUUUGAACUUGAAAAUCCCAAUGUAAAGACAAAGUAUAUCAUGACAGGGAUGGUGGUGAGGAUGCUAAUGACAGGAUGAUAGAUAAUAACCAUAGUGAAAUGUGACUUUAAGCACUUUAACAGAACUCAACAUUUUUUUUUUCUUCUUUUUGACACAAGGAAAUAGUGUUUGAAUCCACGCAGGAAUUCACUAGGUUUGCGUCCAAUAUGGCAUAUUGCUUUGCUCCCAUUCAUAAUGAUUUUCAGCUUUUCACACGCAGUACAUGAAUUAUUGUUUCCCAGCUCUACAUCUGUUUCCCUAUCUCUUUGGCUGCCAUUAACAACUAAAGAAAAGAAUCUAUAAAACUAUAUAGCCUAUAGUUACCUCUAAGCAGAUUUAAUUGGCUACACCUCGAAAGGAGUUCCUUCUCUUGAAUAUAUUGUGCAACCAAAUGCUUUGCACCCCUCCCCCUGACUUCCAAUCAAUUUAGGGCCUAAGGCUGGUGUAAUCCAUUGUUGACAGAUAUGUUUAAUGAACCUGGCUUUGAGCAUUCAUAGCUGAGGGACUGCGGAUUAGGUUUUAUCUUAUUUCACAUCUUGAUUAAUAAUCUGGGAGGAGGCUUCAACAUGCUAAUGGAAUGAAAUUUGCAAUGUGAAGGAAGCUGGGAGACACUGCAAAGAGAGAGGGCAGCUUAGAAAGGCCAGUGUGGGGAGGGCAGGUGGGGAGGCCUUGCAUGGGCUGGCCCUUUAGCACUACUCUGCAGAGAGGCCCUCUAUGGAGGACGGGUGUGGAGAGAGCCAGAGAGCCAGACCCUUUCCUGGGGUUGUCACGCUGGAUCUGAAGGGCUGCAGCUUGCGUGGCUGCCCAGCACAGAGCUCUUUUGCAAUGUGUUACUCACUGUUAGUUCAUGCCAAAUUUGGGAAAAUAAUAAGAAACAUAGGCUUUCCACAUUAAGGAGGAAACCAGAAUGUAGCAGUGCUCAAAGAGACCCGGAGGCAGCACUUCCUUAUGGGGUGGGCUGUUGGGAAGUGUUUCAUGAACAGGCUUCACCGUGCACACACAUGGAAACCUCUUGCUUUGGCCACCUGAAUUAAUUCCCCUUACCUUUCAAACUGCUUCUAGACCUGUUCCUCUGCUGGAGGAGAAAUGCAACCUAAUUCUUCCUCCAAUUGUAAGCACUUUCCAAUGAUCUGAAAAGCUGGAUCUCUGUAUUAGGAAAAUCUUACUUGAUGUUCUCUCUGGUCCAUGAACCCAUUUUCACUGAAUUAGCAGAGUCUGGGUACUCUGACUUGCCUUCCUUUGGGGAUAUAAAUGCUUUUCUCAUGUUAAUUAAACAUGGAGGCCAUUAGACCGAGGUGGCUCUAACGCCCUGGUGGCCUAUCUAAGCAAACCAAAAUUUAAGCCUGUAAAUGCCUCAAGGUUACAAAAUCAAACCUCUAAGGACAAUUAAUCACAGCCAGCUAGGCUUUAAGCAAUUGCCAAUCAAAUAAAUUCCUUUCUUUGCUUCUCCACGUUGUUGAUAUGAGGUUUUCCCCUGAAUCCUGUGGGCAAAAUGCUCCUAACCAUUUCUGGUUUGGCACUGCCCAAUUCCAAUCAACUUUUGCUCAAAUAACUCUUAAAAUUUUUAAAAUGCCUCAGUUUAUCUUUUUGUGUGUGUGUGAGGAAAAUCAGCCCUGAGCUAACAUACAUUGCCAAUCUUCUUCUUUUUGCUUGAGAAAGAUUGUCCUUGAGCUAACAUCUGUGCCAAUCUUGCUCUAUUUUGUAUGUGGGAUGCCACCACAGCAUGGCUUGAUGAGCGGUAUGUAGGUCCGCACCAGAUCCAAACAGACGAACUCUGGGCCACCAAAGCAAAGCGCGCUAACUUAACUACUACACCACCAGGCUGGCCCCUCAGUUUAUCUUUUAACACUCACAAGAUGUGAGUUUCCCCAUGGUCUUGAUUUGUGUGAGGAGGAUUGGUGAAUGGGUAUCAAAGGAAAAUGAGACUAGAGGGCAUAUGGGCAGCUAAUAUAUUGUGUCACUUUGCCUGUUGCUUUCCAGUGAUGACUUUCAAGAAAUAAUAAAUUGUAAUUUUAGAGCAGGAAAGGAAAUUUGAGAUGGAGUCAAAAGUCCUUCUUUUACAAAGAGGGUACCUGAGGCACGCAGAGGAGACUUGACCAAAGUUGCCAGGAUUGAAAUGAGUGGAGCUGGAAUAAAUCCUUCCCUGAAGGGGAUUGCAACUGAGAAUGAUUCUACGAUUAACAAACGUCUCUGAGCAAGUUGACUUGGGUGGAGACGAAUCACUGCUCUUUGCAUCACUGGGACUUCCUCCAAAACAUCUUCUCUGGGUCUGGCCCCGUGGCCGAGUGGUUGGGUUCGCGCGCUCCGCUGCAGGCGGCCCAGUGAUUUGUCGGUUCGAGUCCUGGGCGCGGACAUGGCACUGCUCAUCAAGCCACGCUGAGGCAGCGUCCCACAUGCCGCAACUACAAGGACCCACAACGAAGAUUAUACAACUGUGUACUGGGGGGCUUUGGG
ensembl:lncRNA